AUUGAACGCUAGCGGGAUGCCUUACACAUGCAAGUCGAACGGAGUGGCGAACGGGUGAGUAAUGUAUAGGAACGUGCCCAGUAGCGGGGGAUAACUACGCGAAAGGGUAGCUAAUACCGCAUACUAUUGGAUGGGCCGAUAUCGGAUUAGCUAGUGGGUGGGGUAACGGCCAACCAAGGCGACGAUCCGUAGCUGGUCUGAGAGGACGAUCAGCCACACUGGAACUGAGACACGGCCCAGACUCCUACGGGAGGCAGCAGUGGGGAAUUUUGGACAAUGGGGGAAACCCUGAUCCAGCCAUGCCGCGUGUGCGAUGAAGGCCUUCGGGUUGUAAAGCACUUUUGGCAGGAAGGCGGUACCUGCAGAAUAAGCACCGGCUAACUACGUGCCAGCAGCCGCGGUAAUUC
rnacentral:rRNA from 1 species